GGGGAUUUAGCUCAGCGGUAGAGCGCUUGCCUAGCAAGCUCAAGGCCCUGGGUUCAGUCCCCA
rfam:Rattus norvegicus chromosome 5, whole genome shotgun sequence.